GACGAACGCUGGCGGCGUGCUUAACACAUGCAAGUCGAACGAAGUGGCGAACGGGUGAGUAACGCGUAAUCAACCUGCCCUUCAGAGGGGGACAACAGUUGGAAACGACUGCUAAUACCUCCUACUGAAGGAGGGGAUUGCGUCUGAUUAGCUAGUUGGAGGGGUAACGGCCCACCAAGGCGAUGAUCAGUAGCCGGUCUGAGAGGAUGAACGGCCAAAGUGGGACUGAGAAACGGACCAGACUCCUACGGGAGGCAGCAGUGGGGAAUCUUCCGAAAUGGACGAAAGUCUGACGGAGCAACGCCGCGUGAGUGAUGACGGCCUUCGGGUUGUAAAGCUCUGUUAAUCGGGACGCGGUACCGGAAUAGAAAGCCACGGCUAACUACGUGCCAGCAGCCGCGGUAAUUC
rnacentral:rRNA from 1 species